UUACAUCACGUCCCUCUGGUCAUGUUUAUUUGCUAUAUGCCAUCUUGAUAUGGCAGAAAGCCUUGAGGUUGACAGCUUUGAUGGAGAGCAUUGCAAAGGUGUGGCUGACUUUUACUUGAGAGUGCACUUUAAGGUACCCAUGAUCCGAUUUUAUCAGGGUGCCUUCUGCACACUGAAAAUGAGCCUCAUUGAGGACUUGCAACGCUACUUGGAGGAAAGCGUUGUUGGCAACUUCUGCUUCACAACCAACAGUGGAGGUUAAUAAAUACGUCAGUUGAAUCCUACGUGAUCCAGUCAGGUUGCAGAACAAGUCCCUUGGAGAAAUGUUUCUGAAGUGAAAUGACGCUAUCACUGCAUAUAAGGCACCAGCCAUGUACGCAGCUCCAUUUGUCACAUACCACUUCCUGGCCAAACUAUGUGAAGCGACAGAAUCGAGGAACGCAAGAAGAGAUCUCCACACCAAAUACUAUUUCAGUAGAACGACAGAAAAUUCAGUGCAGCCCUAAGUUCGCCAUCUCGCUACAGAUAUACCCCCACGUACCCGAUUCUAACGAUGGUAGUGCUGGGCGUCAGCGAUGGUCAGCAAAGUGAACGUCACCGUCGAGAACGCGACCAGAGAGGGCGGCGCGAUGUUGGCUUUACAGCCCCCAACCCCACGUCAUGAACGUGAAGAUGCUCCACGGCAGCAGAAAGAUGGUUGUAGCAGCCAUGAAAUCCGUCUCGUACCCGCUAUUCACGUACACAUCCUUCACUUCGAAACCAAGGAUCUGAAUGAAUCAUGGCGUACGCUAGUCAGACAGACUGCGUCGUAGGAGGAGGAGAACGCCGUGGCACCAAACGUGUUCGCUGUCUUGAACCCCCCCAUCUCGCAGUGCCCACAGUAGAGGAGGGCAACCCCGACGAUGACGUAAUCAGAGAGACGCCAAAGGUACCUGCAAUUGUAGGACGAAAGCACAAAGGUGGUGAGGGCACGCACAGCCACAAUCAAACACUAAGGUUGCAAUUGGUUGGCAAUUCAAACGCUCGACAUGGUAUCAGUCACUCAUUGCUCGCCGGACCCAACUUGCAAACACAAGCAUGAUCUCAAGAAGCCGUGAAAGAAAGAGAGAGAAAGAGAGCCUUGAGGAAGGCGAAGAAGCUUUUCAGCUCUCUUUAGACGUUGACAGUGAACCCACCACAUCCCUCCCCUCCGUAAAGUUCACUGCGGAGAAUCUUCAGCGACCAAGCCUUCGGUUGUGGAUGUUGACUAGAAUCGGUUACCACUGCUAAUUUAAUAGCUUGUAUAUUCCAGAUAUUUCUAUUGCGCUCGACUUUGGUUGGAACCAAAUAGACACUAGCUUCUAUGUUCAGUUCCUAGCUUGUAGCCAACGGGACACUUUGACGUAUAUCAGAUCGUACUGUAACAACGCUCAUCCAGGGUGAACUUUACGCGCACCGCCAAUUCAAUAAUCUCGUAAAGAUUUUGCGAAUUCAACCACUUUUCAGGUCGCGGUAAGUGUUCUCCGGAAAUCGUAUUUAUCAACGAUGACGGUGACAACCCAACAGCGCAGCGCGAUGGAAGAAAUAAUCACGAAUCUGGCCAUCAGGUAAAUAGCACAUGGAAUC
rnacentral:lncRNA from 1 species